rnacentral:rRNA from 1 species
CUUGUUACGGCUACCACAUCCAAGGAAGGCAGCAGGCGCGCAAAUUACCCAAUCCUGAAACAGGGAGGUAGUGACGAGAAAUAUCGAACCAGUGAAAUCACUGGUACCGAAAUAUUUUUGAUUAAAAAAAUCUUGCUAUAAUUGGAGGGCAAGUCUGGUGCCAGCAGCCGCGGUAAUUCCAGCUCCAAUAGUGUACAUCAAAAUUGUUGCACUUAAAACGCUCGUAGUUGGAUUGCAAUUACUCUGCGGUUGGACGUCAAACGACUGUUCAUCAGCAGUGUUAUAGUUGUAGGACUCUGUGUUGAACUUUACUGUUCAUUGCAGAAACUCCUUCAAAGUGUGCCUUGAAUAAAGCAUAGUGCUUAAAACAGGCUAAUGAUUGAGUGUGCUAGCAUGGAACUAAUAAACGCCACUCUAGUGGUUGGUUAAGAGGAACAUUAGAGGGUGUUCGUACUUGGUGGCGAGAGGUGAAAUUCUUAGACCCAUCAAUGACGCACUGUGGCGAAAGCAUUCACCAAGAGUGUUUUCAUUAAUCAAGAACGAAAGUUAAAGGUUCGAAGACGAUCAGAUACCGUCCUAGUUUUAACCCUAAACUAUGCUAACAUGGGACAAGCCUGCACCUUUGUUGGUUUAUCCCUCUGCGAAAGCCUUAGUUUUCGAGUUGUGGGGAUAGUAUAGUCGCAAGGCUGGACCUUAAAUGAAAUUGACGGGAUGGCACCACCAGGAGUGGAGCCUGCGGCUUAAUUUGACUCAACACGGGACAACUUACCAGGUCCAGACGUUAGAAGGAUUGACAGACUGAGAGAUCUUUCAUGAUUUCAUGAUUGGUGGUGCAUGGCCGUUCUUAGUUGGUGGAGUGAUCUGUCAGGUUUAUUCCGGUAACGAACGAGAUUCUGUUCCCUAGUUUCCUUCGCUGCCAACUCGCUGCAGUGUGAAUAGGGAGACUGUACUCGCAAGAGUAAAGAAGUGGAGCAAUAACAGGUCUGUGAUGCCCUUCGAUGUCCUGGGCUGCACGCGCGCUACAAUGAAAACGGCAGAAAGUUUCUGUUUUGAUAAAAACAGGCAAUCUUGUAAUUGUUUUCGCGUUAUGGAUUGAGCCUUGUAAUUAUUGCUCAUGAAAGAGGAAUUCCUCGUAAACACAAGUCACCAGCUUGUGUUGAAUAUGUCUCUGCCAUUUGUACACACCGCCCGUCGCUACCACCAAUUUAGUUCAUUAACAAGAUGUAAGGAUCUGUCGCAGGCUCGCUCCUGCGACGGAGAGGAACAUCGAGUUUGUGUACUGUUAGGAUGUAAAAGUCGUAACAAGUUUU